GACAAGAGUGAGACUGUCUCAAAAAACAAAACAAAACAAAACAAAAAAAAGUAGUACAUUAUAAAAAUAGAAAAAAGUGUAUAGAAUAAGGAUAUAAAGAAAGAAAAUGUUUUUAUACAGCUCUACAAUGUAUUUGUGUUUGACGCUAAGUGUUAUUACAAGAGUCCAAAAGUUUAAAUUUUUUUUAAGGGUCUCGCUGUGUCACCCAGGCUGGAGUGCAGUGGAGCAAUCUUGGCUCACUGCAACCUCUGCCUCCCAGGUUCAAGUGAUCCCCUAACCUCAGCCUCUCAAGUAGCUGAGACUAUAGGUGUGCUUCACCACCCCAGCUAAUUUUUGUAUCUUUAGUAAAGGUGGGUUUUGUUUGUUUUGAGACAGAGUCUUGCUGUGUCACCCUGUCACCCGGGCACAAUCACUGCUCACUGCAGCCUCAACCUCGUGGGCUCAAUCGAUCCUCUUGCCUCAGCCACCUGAGUAGCUGGGACUACAGGUGUACACCAUCAUGACCAGCUAAUUUUGUUAUUUUUUGUAGAGAUGGGGUUUCACUAUGUUGCUCAGGCUGAUCUCAACCUCCUGGGCUCAAGUGAUCUGCCUGCCUCGGCCUCCCAAAAUGCUAGGAUUACAGGCAUGAGCCACUGUGCCUUGCCUAAGAAAAUUUUAAGUCAUUUUAGUGUACACUGUGUACAGUGUUAUAACAUCUACAGUAGUGUACAGUAAUGUCCCAGGCCUUCACAGGCACUCACCACUCACUCACUGAGUCUCCCAGAGCAGCCUCCAGCCUUGCAAGCUCCAUUCAUGGUAAGUGCCCUAUACAAGUGUACCAUUUCGUUUUGCAUUGUUGUUGUUGUUGUUGUUGUUUUAGAGGUGGCGUCUCACUAUGUUGUCCAGACUGGAAAGCAGUUGCUAUUUACAGGCACGAUCAUCACCCACUACAGCUUCAAACUCCUGAACUCAAUCAGUUCUCCCACCUGUCUCCCUAAUAGCUGGAACUACAGGCAUAGGCCACUGCACCCGGCCGGGGA
rnacentral:lncRNA from 10 species